rnacentral:rRNA from 1 species
UGGGGAAUAUUGCACAAUGGGGGAAACCCUGAUGCAGCGACGCCGCGUGAGUGAAGAAGUAUUUCGGUAUGUAAAGCUCUAUCAGCAGGAAAGAAAAUGACGGUACCUGACUAAGAAGCCCCGGCUAACUACGUGCC